rnacentral:lncRNA from 1 species
UCUCCUUACUUUUCUCACUCCCUCACUCCCUUCACUCCCUCACUCCCUCACUCAUUCACGGCACAUGGAAAAACCUUGGCUUGCUCCCUAAGCUUGUAACAGUGUUUGGGUUAUAAGGGAAUUCCAAAUUAGCUUGGUUUCAUUUAAUUACUCCCGACAGAAAUCAGAAGGGCAAAAAAAAUCAGAUGAACUCCGUGCAACAAAGUUAAAAUCGUGGUGAGAAUUGAUAAUAACGAACAAUAGAUGAAGAAGGGAGAGAAGAUUACCGGCGAAAGAAGACAAAGGAACAGCAGCGCGAAGGAGAAGAGCAGCAGCAGCGAUUCAGUGAAGGAGAGAAGAGGCGAUUUAGGUUUGAUUUGGGAUAAAUGAAGA